GCGUACGCCGGUCGAUGACCACACACCGAGUACUCUCUCAUCAAAGCCGCAGAACUACCCAAGCAGCCGCUUCACUAUAAAGGCCCAAGGCAGCGGCGGGUCGAUCACCGCGAAGCAUCUCGAAUCCCAACGACGAAGGGGUUGCCUGCCUCGCACUCGGUCCCCUCGCCCUCCUCCCCCUCUCCGCCUCUAAACCCUGAACGAAGGAAGAAUUAGGGCUCCAAGAAUGAGCACCAUCGUCUCGCGUCUGAUCCAUUCGCCCUCUUCCGUCUCUCGCCCGCUUUCCUCAGGUUUGUUGAACUAUGGAAGAUUGUUGUCAACCGAGUCAAAUCGUGUAGAUGAGCCUCUUAAAGUGGAGGAAGCAGAAACGGUAAAAGCACCUCCUCCUCCAUCAGAGAAGCUCCUUGUAUUGGGUGGUAAUGGAUUUGUUGGCUCACAUGUUUGCAAAGAGGCUUUGGAUCAAGGCUUGUCUGUUUCUAGUCUUAGCAGAUCUGGAAGGUCAUCAAUACGUGAAUCUUGGGCUGAUAAAGUUGAAUGGCUACAAGGAAGUCUUCUCGUACCUGAAUCUUGGAAGGAUGUUAUGAAUGACGUGACUGCUGUGAUAUCUUGUGUUGGAGGCUUUGGAUCAAAUUCUUAUAUGUACAAGAUCAAUGGGACUUCAAACAUCAAUGCCAUCAGAGCUGCUGCCGAAAAAGGUGUAAAAAGAUUUGUUUAUAUUUCGGCUGCUGAUUUUGGUCUGGUAAAUUAUCUUCUGCAAGGGUAUUACGAGGGAAAGAGAGCUGCUGAAGCAGAACUUUUGACAAAGUUUACAUAUGGAGGGGUAAUUCUCCGGCCAGGUUUUAUAUAUGGGACUCGCCAAGUUGGGAGUAUGAAGAUACCUCUAGGACUCAUCGGCUCACCGUUGGAGAUGGUGCUCCAGCAUGCCAAACCACUCAAUCGCCUCCCACUUGUUGGUCCUCUCUUAACACCUCCAGUGAAUGUUACCGCCGUUGCGAAGGUAGCAGUAAGAGCUGCAAAUGAUCCAGUAUUUCCUCCAGGCAUAGUGGACGUACAUGGCAUUCUGCGUUACAGUGAACGAAAGUAACCUGUUUCCUCCUCUUAUUCUGUGGGUUCCAAUUUACUUUGGUCUUCUUCCACAUAAAGAUACUUGUUCUGUCGGAAUAAGUUCUUUACACUGGCUGAGCAUUUGCUCGUGCAGUUUUAGUUAUAGAAGCCAUCACUUCCUGUAGAGCAUGCUUGGGACACUCAGCUUGGGAAGCUGUUCUUUGAUCUCAGCAAACAAAGAUGGAGCUAAAGCUAGUGAAAAGAAAGUUAACUGCAGUGUCAUCAGGCACCGAGACUGCAAGGCAGAGGGCAUUUGAACGGACGCAUAAAGAGCCGGUUCACAUGAGAAGGCAGAAACGGAGAAGAUGAUAUAGGUGGAUACAAGACCAAACAAAACAAAGCAUCCAUCAAAUAUUCUCAAUGCUUUCCCCAUUUUUUUAUCUCCUUGAGGGCCAGGAUGAGAGCCAAAGAUUUUACGUCUUACUAACACAAUUUCAUGUUUCCUUUUGAGACCAUACAGCAAGCUUACAGAACACCCUGCAUUAACAUAUCAUUGUUAGAGAUGCUAAAAGCUUCACCGAGUCCAAUAGCUAGGCAGAUAUCAAACACUUACCAUUGCCUUGUACUGGAGAUGACAAGGUAUAUCUAUCUUCUCAAAAUGGAGCAGAUUCCUCCUC